GAUGAAGAACGUAGCGAAAUGCGAUAAGUAAUGUGAAUUGCAGAAUUCAGUGAAUCAUCGAAUCUUUGAACGCACCUUGCGCCCUUUGGCCAUUCCGAAGGGCAUGCCUGUUUGAGUAUCAUGAACACCUCAACUCUUCAUGGUCUUCUAUGAUGAGCUUGGACUUUGGGGGCUUGCUGGCCCAUUUGGUCAGCUCCUCUCAAAUAAAUCAGCCUACCAGUGUUUGGUGGCACCACAGGUGUGAUAACAAUCUACGCUUGAGGUUUUCCACCAGGCAACCUUCAGUAAUUGGGGUUCACUGGGGCUCACAAAUGGCUUUCUUCAGUGAGGACAGCUCUUUGAAUGUUUGAUCUCAAAUCAGGUAGGACUACCCGCUGAACUUAAGCAUAGCAAUAAGCGGAGGA
rnacentral:misc_RNA from 1 species